GGUCAUCAGCAUAUGAAUGAGCGGCCUUCAUUGGCUGCAGGGUUAGUUUACUAAAUAAAGGCAAGGGAGCAACACCCACUUCCUUAAAAUUCUCAGCGUGCACAGUCACUUUGAGCUGGCAGGGAAAUUUCAACGUUGACUUGUUGAACAGCUGCUUCACGAUCGACGCUCCGACGUGACCCCGAGACGUCCAACCAACGUGCGUACACCUGUGACAGUGACGCUUCUGGUGCCGAUAGACCUGAUAUAUAAGACAUGGCAAGUUGUGGAUGGCUGUGGUCCAUCAUGUGGAUCAUCCUGUUGGUGGUUAUAGGCUGGCCCCUCGGGCUGCUCUGCGCCGUGCUGUACGUUUUUAUAUCCCCGUUUCAGGCGUGUUGCUCGUGUGGAGGAUGUCCGGAGUUCAUCAGUCUACUGAACAGAGGCGUGAACCUGCCGCUCACCUGCGCCAAGAACAUGGUCAGCCAGUCCGCGCCCUGCUAGCGUGUUCAAGUCCGAACUGCCAGCUGUAGUUCACUCAUCUCCAAGCAGAUGCUGGGGUGGUUUUCUGACUGCCAGGUUUCUGAUAGCGGCCCCCUGAUCUUCCACCCCAACAUGUGCUUGGAGAUUACAGUUCAUUGUCCCUAUCAUAUCAAAGCAGUUUUAGUUACAUUUCUUUGUUAGCAACAGAAUUUAUCAUUUUUUUAUACGGUUGGAAAAGCAAAAUGCCUUUUUCUGACAAGCACGGCUAUAGAUACGUAGUUUGACAUCCUAGUUUCCAAGAGCUCCGAAAGACGCACUUCUAUUAAAGUUCUUAGCAUUAUUUUGGGAAGAAUAGAGUAUAGGGGACCCUUUGAAACGGCUAAUAAAUACAUCUGACACUGUGCAGCAAUCAAGUGUCUAUGCCAGUGAAUUGUUAUGUAACUUUUCUUCUGAUUUGUAAUUAGGUUUACUAGCUUGCUCAAGAUCUAUGCCGUUUUGCACCCCUUUAGCCAAGUCAUAGAACAUUAAGUUCCUACUACACAUACUAAUACUGCACACCAGAUAUUUGCACACCAAGUUCAGGUUCAAAUGAUGGUGCUACACAUUUACUAAUGGUGUUAUUACAGUUAUAAAAAUGUUGGACCAAAUUAAUGUCUACUCUUAAGAUAUUUAAGGUGGAAAACUUUGUUCAGGCACAUUCAUCAUUUUUCUUCUGAACUGUGAAAUAUGUUCUUGCCAUGGAGCUAGAACAUGGGGUCACCAAUCUAGGAAAAUGUGAACUGGAGCCCCAUGUCAGAGCUGUGUCCUCAAAGUCUAUAUGGCAUCCUUAUCAUAAAUUUUUACACAAUAAAGAAAGAUAUUGACGCC